CCCGGGAGCCAUGGGUCCUAUUGGAGCAGAGCGAGGAUGCAGAGGGAGGAGGCAAGGGAGGGGGAGAAAGGGGAGGAGGAUGGAGCCCUCCUCCUGAUCCGGUAGUGGUAGUAAGAAUCAGCAGCGCGGGCAAGGAGUACGGACGGGAGUCAGAGGCAGAGCGAGGGUGUGUGGAGGGCCGGCGGGGACCGCCGGGAGCGCGCGGAUGUCGGUGUUCCUGGGGCCAGGGAUGCCCUCUGCAUCUUUAUUAGUAAAUCUUCUUUCAGCUUUACUCAUCCUAUUUGUGUUUGGAGAAACAGAAAUAAGAUUUACUGGACAAACUGAAUUUGUUGUUAAUGAAACAAGUACAACAGUUAUUCGUCUUAUCAUUGAAAGGAUAGGAGAGCCAGCAAAUGUUACUGCAAUUGUAUCGCUGUAUGGAGAGGACGCUGGUGACUUUUUUGACACAUAUGCUGCAGCUUUUAUACCUGCUGGAGAAACAAACAGAACAGUGUACAUAGCAGUAUGUGAUGAUGACUUACCAGAGCCUGACGAAACUUUUAUUUUUCACUUAACAUUACAGAAACCUUCAGCAAAUGUGAAGCUUGGAUGGCCAAGGACUGUUACUGUGACAAUAUUAUCAAAUGACAAUGCAUUUGGAAUUAUUUCAUUUAAUAUGCUUCCCUCAAUCGCAGUGAGUGAGCCCAAGGACAGAAAUGAGUCUAUGCCUCUUACUCUCAUCAGGGAAAAGGGGACCUAUGGAAUGGUCAUGGUGACUUUUGAGGUAGAGGGUGGCCCAAAUCCCCCUGAUGAAGAUUUGAGUCCAGUUAAAGGAAAUAUCACCUUUCCCCCUGGCAAAGCAACAGUAAUUUAUAACUUGACAGUACUCGAUGACGAGGUACCAGAAAAUGAUGAAAUAUUUUUAAUUCAACUGAAAAGUGUAGAAGGAGGAGCUGAGAUUAACACCUCUAGGAAUUCCAUUGAGAUCAUCAUUAAGAAAAAUGAUAGUCCCGUGAGAUUCCUUCAGAGUAUUUAUUUGGUUCCUGAGGAAGACCACAUACUCAUAAUUCCAGUAGUUCGUGGAAAGGACAACAAUGGAAAUCUGAUUGGAUCUGAUGAAUAUGAGGUUUCAAUCAGUUAUGCUGUCACAACUGGGAAUUCCACAGCACAUGCCCAGCAAAAUCUGGACUUCAUUGAUCUUCAGCCAAACACAACUGUUGUUUUUCCACCUUUUAUUCAUGAAUCUCACUUGAAAUUUCAAAUAGUUGAUGACACCAUACCGGAGAUUGCUGAAUCGUUUCACAUUAUGUUACUAAAAGAUACCUUACAGGGAGAUGCUGUGCUAAUAAGCCCUUCUGUUGUACAAGUCACCAUUAAGCCAAAUGAUAAACCUUAUGGAGUCCUUUCAUUCAACAGUGUUUUGUUUGAAAGGACAGUUAUAAUUGAUGAAGAUAGAAUAUCAAGAUAUGAAGAAAUCACAGUGGUUAGAAAUGGAGGAACCCAUGGGAAUGUCUCUGCGAAUUGGGUGUUGACACGGAACAGCACUGAUCCCUCACCAGUAACAGCAGAUAUCAGACCGAGCUCUGGAGUUCUCCAUUUUGCACAAGGGCAGAUGUUGGCAACAAUUCCUCUUACUGUGGUUGAUGAUGAUCUUCCAGAAGAGGCAGAAGCUUAUCUACUUCAAAUUCUGCCUCAUACAAUACGAGGAGGUGCAGAAGUGAGCGAGCCAGCGGAGCUUUUGUUCUACAUUCAGGAUAGUGAUGAUGUCUAUGGCCUAAUAACAUUUUUUCCUAUGGAAAACCAGAAGAUUGAAAGCAGCCCAGGUGAACGAUACUUAUCCUUGAGUUUUACAAGACUAGGAGGGACUAAAGGAGAUGUGAGGUUGCUUUAUUCUGUACUUUACAUUCCUGCUGGAGCUGUGGACCCCUUGCAAGCAAAAGAAGGCAUCUUAAAUAUAUCAAGGAGAAAUGACCUCAUUUUUCCAGAGCAAAAAACUCAAGUCACUACAAAAUUACCAAUAAGAAAUGAUGCAUUCCUUCAAAAUGGAGCUCACUUUCUAGUACAGUUGGAAACUGUGGAGUUGUUAAACAUAAUUCCUCCAAUCCCACCCAUAAGCCCUAGAUUUGGGGAAAUCUGCAAUAUUUCUUUACUGGUUACUCCAGCCAUUGCAAAUGGAGAAAUUGGCUUUCUCAGCAAUCUUCCAAUUAUUUUGCAUGAACCAGAAGAUUUUGCUGCUGAAGUGGUAUACAUUCCCUUACAUCGGGAUGGAACUGAUGGCCAGGCUACUGUCUACUGGAGUUUGAAGCCCUCUGGCUUUAAUUCAAAAGCAUUGACCCCGGAUGAUAUAGGCCCCUUUAAUGGCUCUGUUUUGUUUUUAUCUGGGCAAAGUGACACAACAAUCAACAUUACUAUCAAAGGUGAUGACAUACCGGAAAUGAAUGAAACUGUAACACUUUCUCUAGACAGGGUUAACGUGGAAAACCAAGUGCUGAAAUCUGGAUAUACUAGCCGUGACCUAAUUAUUUUGGAAAAUGAUGACCCUGGGGGACUUUUUGAAUUUUCUCCUGCUUCCAGAGGACCCUAUGUUAUAAAAGAAGGAGAAUCUGUAGAGCUCCACAUCUUCCGAUCAAGGGGGUCCCUUGUUAAGCAGUUUCUACACUACCGAGUAGAGCCAAGAGAUAGCAAUGAAUUCUAUGGAAACACAGGAGUACUAGAAUUUAAACCUGGAGAAAGGGAGAUAGUGAUCACCUUGCUAGCAAGAUUGGAUGGGAUACCAGAGUUGGAUGAACACUACUGGGUGGUCCUCAGCAGCCACGGAGAACGGGAAAGCAAGUUGGGAAGUGCCACCAUUGUCAAUAUAACGAUUCUGAAAAAUGAUGAUCCUCAUGGCAUUAUAGAAUUUGUUUCUGAUGGUCUAAUUGUGAUGAUAAAUGAAAGCAAAGGAGAUGUUAUCUAUAGUGCUGUUUAUGAUGUAGUAAGAAAUCGAGGCAACUUUGGUGAUGUUAGUGUAUCAUGGGUGGUUAGUCCAGACUUUACACAAGAUGUAUUUCCUGUACAAGGGACUGUUGUCUUUGGAGAUCAGGAAUUUUCAAAAAAUAUCACCAUUUACUCCCUUCCAGAUGAGAUUCCAGAAGAAAUGGAAGAAUUUACCGUUAUCCUACUGAAUGCCACUGGAGGAGCUAAAGUGGGAAAUAGAACAACUGCAACUCUGAGGAUUAGAAGAAAUGAUGACCCCAUUUAUUUUGCAGAACCUCGUGUAGUGAGGGUUCAGGAAGGUGAGACUGCCAACUUUACAGUUCUCAGAAAUGGAUCUGUUGAUGUGACUUGCAUGGUCCAGUAUGCUACGAAGGAUGGGAAGGCUACUGCAAGAGAGAGAGAUUUCAUUCCUGUUGAAAAAGGAGAAACGCUCAUUUUUGAGGUUGGAAGUAGACAGCAGAGCAUAUCCGUAUUUGUUAAUGAAGAUGGUAUCCCAGAAACAGAUGAGCCCUUUUAUAUAAUCCUCUUUAAUUCAACAGGUGAUACAGUAGUAUAUCAAUAUGGAGUAGCUACAGUAAUAAUUGAAGCUAAUGAUGACCCAAAUGGCAUUUUUUCUCUGGAGCCCAUAGACAAAGCAGUGGAAGAAGGAAAGACUAAUGCAUUUUGGAUUUUGAGGCACCGAGGAUACUUUGGUAGUGUUUCUGUAUCUUGGCAGCUCUUUCAGAAUGAUUCUGCUUUGCAGCCUGGACAGGAGUUCUAUGAAACUUCAGGAACUGUUAACUUCAUGGAUGGAGAAGAAGCAAAACCAAUCAUUCUCCAUGCUUUUCCAGAUAAAAUUCCUGAAUUCAAUGAAUUUUAUUUCCUAAAACUUGUAAACAUUUCAGGUGGAUCCCCAGGUCCUGGGGGCCAGCUAGCAGAAACCAACCUCCAGGUGACAGUAAUGAUUCCAUUCAAUGAUGAUCCCUUUGGAGUUUUCAUCUUGGAUCCAGAGUGUUUAGAGAGGGAAGUGGCAGAAGAUGUCCUGUCUGAAGAUGAUAUGUCUUAUAUUACCAACUUCACCAUUUUGAGGCAGCAGGGUGUGUUUGGUGAUGUACGACUGGGCUGGGAAAUACUGUCCAGUGAGUUCCCUGCUGGUUUGCCACCAAUGAUAGAUUUUUUACUGGUUGGAAUUUUCCCCACGACCGUGCAUUUACAACAGCACAUGCGGCAUCACCACAGUGGAACGGAUGCUUUGUACUUUACCGGACUAGAGGGUGCAUUUGGGACUGUUAAUCCAAAAUACCAUCCCUCCAGGAAUAAUACAAUUGCCAACUUUACAUUCUCAGCUUGGGUAAUGCCCAAUGCCAAUACGAAUGGAUUCAUUAUAGCGAAGGAUGACGGUAAUGGAAGCAUCUACUAUGGGGUAAAAAUACAAACAAACGAAUCCCAUGUGACACUUUCCCUUCAUUAUAAAACCUUGGGUUCCAAUGCUACAUACAUUGCCAAGACAACAGUCAUGAAAUAUUUAGAAGAAAGUGUUUGGCUUCAUCUACUAAUUAUCCUGGAGGAUGGUAUAAUCGAAUUCUACCUGGAUGGAAAUGCAAUGCCCAGGGGAAUCAAGAGUCUGAAAGGAGAAGCCAUUACUGACGGUCCUGGGAUACUGAGAAUUGGAGCAGGGAUAAAUGGCAAUGACAGAUUUACAGGUCUGAUGCAGGAUGUGAGGUCCUAUGAGCGGAAACUGACGCUUGAAGAAAUUUAUGAACUUCAUGCCAUGCCCGCAAAAAGUGAUUUACACCCAAUUUCUGGAUAUCUGGAGUUCAGACAGGGAGAAACUAACAAAUCAUUCAUUAUUUCUGCAAGAGAUGACAAUGACGAGGAAGGAGAAGAAUUAUUCAUUCUUAAACUAGUUUCUGUAUAUGGAGGAGCUCGUAUUUCGGAAGAAAAUACUACUGCAAGAUUAACAAUACAAAAAAGUGACAAUGCAAAUGGCUUGUUUGGUUUCACAGGAGCUUGUAUACCAGAGAUUGCAGAGGAGGGAUCAACCAUUUCUUGUGUGGUUGAGAGAACCAGAGGAGCUCUGGAUUAUGUGCAUGUUUUUUACACCAUUUCACAGAUUGAAACUGAUGGCAUUAAUUACCUUGUUGAUGACUUUGCUAAUGCCAGUGGAACUAUUACAUUCCUUCCUUGGCAGAGAUCAGAGGUUCUGAAUAUAUAUGUUCUUGAUGAUGAUAUUCCUGAACUUAAUGAGUAUUUCCGUGUGACAUUGGUUUCUGCAAUUCCUGGAGAUGGGAAGCUAGGCUCAACUCCUACCAGUGGUGCAAGCAUAGAUCCUGAAAAGGAAACGACUGAUAUCACCAUCAAAGCUAGUGAUCAUCCAUAUGGCUUGCUGCAGUUCUCCACAGGGCUGCCUCCUCAGCCUGAGGACGCAAUGACCCUGCCUGCAAGCAGCGUUCCACAUACCACUGUGGAGGAGGAAGAUGGAGAAAUCAGGUUAUUGGUCAUCCGUGCACAGGGACUUCUGGGAAGGGUGACUGCGGAAUUUAGAACAGUGUCCUUGACAGCAUUCAGUCCUGAGGAUUACCAGAAUGUUGCUGGCACAUUAGAAUUUCAACCAGGAGAAAGAUAUAAAUACAUUUCCAUAAACAUCACUGAUAAUUCUAUUCCUGAAUUGGAAAAAUCUUUUAAAGUUGAGUUGUUAAACUUGGAAGGAGGAGUAGCUGAACUCUUUAGGGUUGAUGGAAGUGGUAGUGGUGAUGGGGACAUGGAAUUCUUCCUUCCAACUAUUCACAAACGUGCCAGUCUAGGAGUGGCUUCCCAAAUUCUAGUGACAAUUGCAGCCUCUGACCACGCUGAUGGCGUAUUUGAAUUUAGCCCUGAGUCACUCUUUGUCAGUGGAACUGAACCAGAAGAUGGGUAUAGCACUGUUACAUUAAAUGUUAUAAGACAUCAUGGAACUCUGUCUCCAGUGACUUUGCAUUGGAACAUAGACUCUGAUCCUGAUGGUGAUCUCGCCUUCACCUCUGGCAACAUCACAUUUGAGAUUGGGCAGACGAGCGCCAAUAUCACUGUGGAGAUAUUGCCUGACGAAGACCCAGAACUGGAUAAGGCAUUCUCUGUGUCAAUCCUCAGUGUUUCCAGUGGUUCUUUGGGAGCUCAUAUUAAUGCCACGUUAACAGUUUUGGCUAGUGAUGAUCCAUAUGGGAUAUUCAUUUUUUCUGAGAAAAACAGACCUGUUAAAGUUGAGGAAGCAACCCAGAACAUCACACUAUCAAUAAUAAGGUUGAAAGGCCUCAUGGGAAAAGUCCUUGUCUCAUAUGCAACACUAGAUGAUAUGGAAAAACCACCUUAUUUUCCACCUAAUUUAGCGAGAGCAACUCAAGGAAGAGACUAUAUACCAGCUUCUGGAUUUGCUCUUUUUGGAGCUAAUCAGAGUGAGGCAACAAUAGCUAUUUCAAUUUUGGAUGAUGAUGAGCCAGAAAGGUCCGAAUCUGUCUUUAUCGAACUACUCAACUCUACUUUAGUAGCGAAAGUACAGAGUCGUUCAAUUCCAAAUUCUCCACGUCUUGGGCCUAAGGUAGAAACUGUUGCGCAACUAAUUAUCAUUGCCAAUGAUGAUGCAUUUGGAACUCUUCAGCUCUCAGCACCAAUUGUCCGAGUGGCAGAAAAUCAUGUUGGACCCAUUAUCAAUGUGACUAGAACAGGAGGAGCAUUUGCAGAUGUCUCUGUGAAGUUUAAAGCUGUGCCAAUAACUGCAAUAGCUGGUGAAGAUUAUAGUAUAGCUUCAUCAGAUGUGGUCUUGCUAGAAGGGGAAACCAGUAAAGCCGUGCCAAUAUAUGUCAUUAAUGAUAUCUAUCCUGAACUGGAAGAAUCUUUUCUUGUGCAACUGAUGAAUGAAACAACAGGAGGAGCCAGACUAGGGGCUUUAACAGAGGCAGUCAUUAUUAUUGAGGCCUCUGAUGACCCCUAUGGAUUAUUUGGUGUUCAGAUUACUAAACUUAUUGUAGAGGAACCUGAGUUUAACUCAGUGAAGGUAAACCUGCCAAUAAUUCGAAAUUCUGGGACACUCGGCAAUGUUACUGUUCAGUGGGUUGCCACCAUUAAUGGACAGCUUGCUACUGGCGACCUGCGAGUUGUCUCAGGUAAUGUGACCUUUGCCCCUGGGGAAACCAUUCAAACCUUGUUGUUAGAGGUCCUGGCUGACGACGUUCCGGAGAUUGAAGAGGUUAUCCAAGUGCAACUAACUGAUGCCUCUGGUGGAGGUACUAUUGGGUUAGAUCGAAUUGCAAAUAUUAUUAUUCCUGCCAAUGAUAAUCCUUAUGGUACAGUAGCCUUUGCUCAGACGGUUUAUCGUGUUCAAGAGCCUCUGGAAAGAAGUUCCUGUGCUAAUAUAACUGUCAGGCGAAGCGGAGGGCACUUUGGUCGGCUGUUGUUGUUCUACAGUACUUCCGACAUUGAUGUAGUGGCUCUGGCAAUGGAGGAAGGUCAAGAUUUACUGUCCUACUAUGAAUCUCCAAUUCAAGGGGUGCCUGACCCACUUUGGAGAACUUGGAUGAAUGUCUCUGCCGUGGGGGAGCCCCUGUAUACCUGUGCCACUUUGUGCCUUAAGGAACAAGCUUGCUCAGCGUUUUCAUUUUUCAGUGCUUCUGAGGCUCCCCAGUGUUUCUGGAUGACAUCAUGGAUCAGCCCAGCUGUCAACAAUUCAGACUUCUGGACCUACAGGAAAAACAUGACCAGGGUAGCAUCUCUUUUUAGUGGUCAGGCUGUGGCUGGGAGUGACUAUGAGCCUGUGACAAGGCAAUGGGCCAUAAUGCAGGAAGGUGAUGAAUUCGCAAAUCUCACAGUGUCUAUUCUUCCUGAUGAUUUCCCAGAGAUGGAUGAGAGUUUUCUAAUUUCUCUCCUUGAAGUUCACCUCAUGAACAUUUCAGCCAGUUUGAAAAAUCAGCCAACCAUAGGACAGCCAAAUAUUUCUACAGUUGUCAUAGCACUAAAUGGUGAUGCCUUUGGAGUGUUUGUGAUCUACAGUAUUAGUCCCAAUACUUCCGAAGAUGGCUUAUUUGUUGAAGUUCAGGAGCAGCCCCAAACCUUGGUGGAGCUGACGAUACACAGGACAGGGGGCAGCUUAGGUCAAGUGGCAGUCGAAUGGCGUGUUGUUGGUGGAACAGCUACUGAAGGUUUAGAUUUUAUAGGUGCUGGAGAGAUUCUGACCUUUGCUGAAGGUGAAACCAAAAAGACAAUCAUUUUAACCAUCUUGGAUGACUCUGAACCAGAGGAUGACGAAAGUAUCAUAGUUAGUUUGGUGUACACUGAAGGUGGAAGUAGAAUUUUGCCAAGCUCCGACACUGUUAGAGUGAACAUUUUGGCCAAUGACAAUGUGGCAGGAAUUGUUAGCUUUCAGACAGCUUCCAGAUCUGUCAUAGGUCAUGAAGGAGAAAUUUUACAAUUCCAUGUGAUAAGAACUUUCCCUGGUCGAGGAAAUGUUACUGUUAACUGGAAAAUUAUUGGGCAAAAUCUAGAACUCAAUUUUGCUAACUUUAGUGGACAACUCUUCUUUCCUGAGGGGUCGUUGAAUACAACGUUGUUUGUGCAUUUGUUGGAUGACAACAUUCCUGAGGAGAAAGAAGUAUACCAAGUCAUUCUGUAUGAUGUCAGGACACAAGGAGUUCCACCAGCCGGAAUCGCCCUGCUUGAUGCUCAAGGAUAUGCAGCUGUCCUCACGGUAGAAGCCAGUGAUGAACCACAUGGAGUUUUAAAUUUUGCUCUUUCAUCAAGAUUUGUGUUACUACAAGAGGCUAACAUAACAAUUCAGCUUUUCAUCAACAGAGAAUUUGGAUCUCUAGGAGCUAUCAAUGUCACAUAUACCACGGUUCCUGGAAUGCUGAGUCUGAAGAACCAAACAGUAGGAAACCUAGCAGAGCCAGAAGUUGAUUUUGUCCCUAUCAUUGGCUUUCUGAUUUUAGAAGAAGGGGAAACAGCAGCAGCCAUCAACAUUACCAUUCUUGAGGAUGAUAUACCAGAGCUAGAAGAAUAUUUCCUGGUGAAUUUAACUUACGUUGAACUUACCAUGGCUGCUUCAACUUCAUUUCCUCCCAGACUAGAUUCAGAAGGUUUGACUGCACAAGUUAUUAUUGAUGCCAAUGAUGGGGCCCGAGGUGUAAUUGAAUGGCAACAAAGCAGGUUUGAAGUAAAUGAAACCCAUGGAAGUUUAACAUUGGUAGCCCAGAGGAGCAGAGAACCUCUUGGCCAUGUUUCCUUAUUUGUGUAUGCUCAGAAUUUGGAAGCACAAGUGGGGCUGGAUUAUAUCUUCACCCCAAUGAUUCUUCAUUUUGCUGAUGGAGAAAGGUAUAAAAAUGUCAAUAUCAUGAUUCUUGAUGAUGACAUUCCAGAAGGAGAUGAAAAAUUUCAGCUGAUUUUAACAAAUCCUUCUCCUGGACUAGAGCUAGGGAAAAAUACAAUAGCCUUAAUUAUUGUCCUUGCUAAUGAUGACGGCCCUGGAGUUCUAUCAUUUAACAACAGUGAGCACUUUUUCCUAAGAGAGCCAACAGCUCUCUACGUCCAGGAGGGUGUUGCAGUAUUGUACAUUGUUCGGGAACCUGCACAAGGAUUGUUUGGAACAGUGACAGUUCAGUUCAUUGUGACAGAAGUGAAUUCCUCAAAUGAAUCUAAAGAUCUGACUCCUUCCAAAGGCUAUAUUGUUUUAGAAGAAGGUGUUCGAUUCAAGGCCCUACAAAUAUCUGCCAUAUUAGACACGGAACCAGAAAUGGAUGAGUAUUUUGUUUGCACCUUGUUUAAUCCAACUGGAGGUGCUAGACUAGGGGCGCAUGUUCAAACCCUGAUAACAGUUUUGCAAAACCAGGCCCCUUUGGGGCUAUUCAGUAUCUCUGCAGUUGAAAAUAGAGCCACCUCCAUAGACAUCGAAGAAGCCAAUAGGACCGUGUAUUUAAAUGUAUCUCGAACUAAUGGCAUUGAUUUGGCUGUGAGUGUGCAGUGGGAGACAGUAUCUGAAACAGCCUUUGGCAUGAGGGGAAUGGAUGUUGUGUUUUCCGUAUUUCAAAGUUUUUUGGAUGAAUCAGCUUCUGGCUGGUGUUUCUUUACUUUGGAAAAUUUAAUAUAUGGUAUAAUGUUAAGAAAAUCAUCUGUUACUGUUUACCGAUGGCAGGGGAUUUUUAUUCCAGUUGAGGAUUUAAAUAUAGAAAAUCCUAAAACUUGUGAGGCCUUUAAUAUUGGUUUUUCUCCCUACUUUGUGAUUACUCAUGAAGAAAGAAAUGAAGAAAAGCCUUCUCUUAACAGUGUGUUUACAUUCACAUCUGGAUUUAAAUUAUUCCUGGUACAAACAAUCGUUAUUCUGGAAAGUUCUCAAGUAAGAUAUUUUACUUCAGACAGCCAAGAUUAUUUAAUCAUUGCAAGUCAAAGAGAUGAUUCCGAAUUAACUCAGGUCUUCAGGUGGAAUGGAGGAAGCUUCGUGUUGCAUCAAAAACUCCCUGUCCGAGGUGUGCUGACCGUGGCCUUGUUCAACAAGGGAGGCUCUGUGUUCUUAGCCAUUUCCCAGGCUAAUGCCAGGCUAAACUCCCUUUUAUUCAGAUGGUCUGGCAGUGGGUUUAUUAACUUUCAAGAGGUGCCUGUCAGUGGGACAACAGAAGUUGAGGCUUUGUCUUCAGCCAAUGAUAUUUACCUAAUAUUUGCCAAAAAUGUCUUUCUAGGAGAUCAGAAUUCAAUUGAUAUUUUCAUCUGGGAGAUGGGACAGUCUUCCUUCAGGUAUUUUCAGUCCCUAGAUUUUGCUGCUGUUAACAGAAUCCACUCCUUCACACCAGCCUCAGGAAUAGCCCACAUACUUCUUAUUGGCCAAGAUAUGUCUGCUGUUUACUGCUGGAAUUCGGAGCUUAAUCACUUCUCUUUUGUUCUGGAAGUACCUUCUGCUUAUGAUGUGGCUUCUGUUACAGUAAAGUCCCUUAAUUCAAGCAAGAAUUUAAUAGCUCUAGUGGGAACUCGUUCACAUAUAUAUGAGCUAGCCUACAUUUCCAGCCAUUCUGACUUUAUUCCUGGUUCAGGUGAACUGAUAUUUGAACCUGGUGACAGAGAAGCUACAAUAGCAGUAAAUAUCCUUGAUGAUACAGUUCCAGAAAAAGAAGAAUCCUUCAAAGUUCAACUUAAAAAUCCCAAAGGAGGAGCAGAGAUUGGCAUUAAUGAUUCUGUAACAAUAACCAUUCUGUCUAAUGAUGAUGCCUAUGGAAUUGUUGCAUUUGCUCAGAAUUCAUUAUAUAAGCAAGUGGAAGAAAUGGAGCAAGAUAGCCUAGUAACCUUGAACGUUGAACGCUUAAAAGGAACAUAUGGCCGUAUAACCAUAGCAUGGGAAGCUGAUGGAAGUAUUAGUGAUAUAUUUCCUACCUCAGGAGUGAUUUCAUUUACUGAAGGCCAGGUACUGUCAACAAUCACUCUAACUAUUCUUGCUGAUAAUAUACCAGAGUUAUCAGAGGUUGUGAUUGUAACCCUCACCCGUAUCACCACAGAAGGGGUUGAGGACUCAUACGAAGGUGCUACUAUUGAUCAGGACAGAAGCAAGUCUGUUAUAACAACUUUGCCCAAUGACUCACCUUUUGGCUUGGUGGGCUGGCAUGCUGCGUCUGUCUUCAUUAGAGUAGCAGAGCCUAAAGAAAACACCACCACUCUUCAGUUACAACUAGCUCGAGAUAAAGGACUACUUGGGGAUAUUGCCAUUCACUUGAGAGCUCAACCCAAUUUCUUACUGCAUGUCGAUAAUCAAGCUACUGAGAAUGAAGAUUAUGUAUUGCAAGAAACAAUAAUAAUAAUGAAAGAAAACAUAAAAGAAGCUCAUGCCAAAGUUUCCAUUUUGCCGGAUGACCUUCCUGAAUUGGAGGAAGGAUUUAUUGUCACUAUCACUGAGGUGAACCUGGUGAACUCUGACUUCUCUACAGGACAGCCAAGUGUGCGGAGGCCUGGAAUGGAAAUAGCUGAGAUAAUGAUAGAAGAAAAUGACGAUCCCAGAGGAAUUUUUAUGUUUCAUGUUACUAGAGGCGCUGGGGAAGUUAUUACUGCCUAUGAGGUGCCUCCACCCUUGAACGUUCUUCAAGUUCCUGUAGUCCGGCUGGCUGGAAGCUUUGGGGCAGUAAAUGUUUAUUGGAAAGCAUCACCAGACAGUGCUGGCCUGGAAGACUUUAAACCAUCUCAUGGGAUUCUUGAAUUUGCAGAUAAACAGGUUACUGCAAUGAUAGAAAUCGCCGUAAUUGAUGAUGCUGAAUUUGAAUUGACAGAGACGUUCAAUAUUUCCUUGAUCAGUGUUGCUGGAGGUGGCAGACUUGGUGAUGAUGUUGUGGUAACUGUUGUUAUUCCACAAAAUGAUUCUCCAUUUGGAGUAUUUGGAUUUGAAGAAAAGACUGUAAUGAUUGAUGAAUCCCUUUCAUCCGAUGACCCUGAUUCAUAUGUGACAUUGACGGUUGUCCGGUCCCCAGGAGGAAAAGGAACCGUCCGACUUGAGUGGACCAUAGAUGAGAAGGCUAAACAUAACCUUAGUCCUUUGAAUGGGACCCUUCAUUUUGAUGAGACUGAGUCCCAGAAGACCAUUGUGUUGCACACACUUCAAGACACAGUGUUGGAGGAGGACAGACGUUUCACCAUUCAGCUGAUAUCAAUUGAUGAGGUAGAAAUAUCUCCAGUAAAAGGUAGUGCAUCAAUAAUUAUUCGGGGUGAUAAGCGAGCAUCAGGAGAAGUUGGGAUAGCUCCGUCAUCUAGGCACAUCCUCAUUGGGGAACCCUCAGCAAAAUAUAAUGGUACCGCUAUUAUCAGCCUUGUUCGAGGCCCAGGGAUUUUGGGGGAGGUCACAGUGUUCUGGAGGAUAUUCCCUCCUUCCGUGGGGGAAUUUGCUGAAACAUCAGGAAAACUGACAAUGCGAGAUGAACAGUCUGCAGUCAUUGUAGUAAUACAGGCUUUGAACGAUGACAUUCCUGAGGAAAAAAGCUUCUAUGAGUUUCAGCUCACUGCAGUCAGUGAGGGAGGAGUUCUGAGUGAAUCCAGCAGCACUGCCAACAUCACGGUGGUGGCCAGCGACUCUCCCUAUGGCCGAUUUGCCUUUUCACAUGAGCAACUUCGAGUGUCAGAAGCACAGAGGGUUAACAUCACAAUCAUCCGUUCCGGUGGAGAUUUUGGCCACGUGCGACUCUGGUACAAGACGAUGAGCGGGACAGCGGAAGCAGGCUUGGAUUUUGUUCCUGCAGCAGGGGAGCUCCUCUUUGAAGCAGGGGAGAUGAGGAAAAGUCUGCAUGUUGAAAUCCUUGAUGAUGACUAUCCUGAAGGCCCAGAGGAAUUUUCUCUAACAAUUACAAAGGUGGAACUCCAGGGAAGAGGGUAUGAUUUUACCAUUCAAGAAAAUGGACUUCAGAUAGAUCAACCUCCUGAAAUAGGAAACAUCUCCAUUGUUCGCAUCAUAAUAAUGAAAAAUGAUAACGCAGAAGGCAUCAUUGAAUUUGACCCAAAGUAUACUGCCUUCGAAGUGGAGGAAGAUGUUGGGCUGAUCAUGAUCCCAGUGGUGAGGCUACAUGGAACUUAUGGCUAUGUGACAGCUGAUUUCAUCUCUCAGAGCUCCUCUGCCAGUCCCGGAGGUGUUGAUUACAUUUUGCAUGGCACUACAGUCACCUUUCAGCAUGGGCAAAACUUAAGUUUUAUAAAUAUCUCCAUCAUUGAUGACAAUGAAAGUGAAUUUGAGGAGCCCAUUGAAAUUCUACUCACUGGAGCUACUGGAGGAGCGGUCCUUGGGCGCCACCUAGUGAGCAGAAUCAUAAUAGCUAAGAGUGACUCUCCCUUUGGAGUUAUAAGGUUUCUCAAUCAAAGCAAAAUUUCUAUUCCUAAUCCCAAUUCCACAAUGAUUUUAUCACUGGUGCUGGAGCGGACUGGAGGACUCUUGGGAGAGAUUCAGGUGAACUGGGAGACAGUAGGACCCAACUCUCAAGAAGCCUUACUGCCACAGAAUAGAGACAUUGCAGACCCAGUGAGCGGGUUGUUCUAUUUUGGAGAAGGAGAAGGAGGAGUGAGAACCAUAAUUCUGACAAUCUAUCCUCAUGAAGAAAUUGAAGUUGAAGAGACAUUCAUUAUUAAACUUCAUCUUGUGAAAGGAGAAGCUAAAUUAGACUCCAGAGCUAAAGAUGUUACAUUAACCAUACAAAAGUUUGGUGACCCAAAUGGAGUUGUUCAGUUUGCUCCUGAGACUUUGUCUAAGAAGACUUAUUCAGAGCCUCUGGCUCUGGAAGGGCCCCUGCUCAUUACCUUCUUUGUCAGAAGAGUCAAGGGCACCUUUGGAGAGAUUAUGGUUUACUGGGAAUUAAGUAGUGAGUUUGACAUUACUGAAGACUUUCUUUCCACCAGUGGAUUUUUCACCAUUGCUGAUGGAGAGAGUGAAGCUAGCUUUGAUGUUCAUUUGCUACCAGAUGAGGUACCUGAGAUAGAGGAAGAUUAUGUGAUCCAGCUUGUUUCUGUAGAGGGAGGAGCCGAACUGGAUCUGGAGAAAAGUAUCACAUGGUUCUCUGUUUAUGCAAAUGAUGACCCACAUGGAGUAUUUGCCCUGUAUUCGGAUCGCCAGUCAAUACUUAUUGGGCAGAACCUUAUUAGAUCCAUCCACAUUAACAUAACCCGGCUUGCUGGAACAUUUGGAGAUGUGGCUGUUGGGCUUCGAAUAUCAUCGGAUCAUAAAGAACAGCCGAUUGUUACCGAAAAUGCAGAGAGGCAGCUGGUGGUCAAAGAUGGUGCCACAUAUAAAGUGGACGUGGUGCCAAUAAAGAAUCAGGUCUUCCUAUCACUGGGCUCUAAUUUCACUUUGCAACUGGUGACUGUGAUGCUUGUCGGUGGACGUUUCUAUGGAAUGCCAACAAUUCUUCAGGAAGCAAAAUCUGCUGUCCUUCCAGUCUCUGAGAAAGCUGCCAAUUCUCAGGUCGGAUUUGAAUCCACUGCUUUUCAACUCAUGAACAUCACUGCUGGCACAAGCCACGUUAUGAUUUCUAGGAGAGGCACAUAUGGCGCUCUCUCGGUUGCCUGGACCACUGGAUAUGCUCCUGGGUUAGAAAUUCCUGAAUUCAUUGUUGUUGGCAACAUGACCCCAACACUGGGGAGCCUUUCAUUUUCCCACGGUGAACAAAGGAAAGGAGUUUUCCUGUGGACGUUUCCUAGCCCUGGUCGGCCAGAGGCCUUUGUUCUUCACCUAUCAGGAGUGCAGAGCAGUGCUCCUGGCGGAGCUCAACUCCGAUCAGGUUUCAUUGUUGCUGAAAUUGAACCAAUGGGCGUCUUCCAAUUUUCCACUAGCUCAAGAAAUAUCAUAGUGUCAGAAGAUACACAGAUGAUCAGAUUACAUGUACAAAGACUAUUUGGGUUCCACAGCGAUCUUAUUAAAGUUUCUUAUCAGACCACUGCAGGAAGCGCCAAGCCACUGGAAGAUUUUGAGCCUGUUCAGAAUGGGGAACUGUUUUUUCAAAAAUUCCAAACUGAGGUUGAUUUUGAAAUAACCAUUAUUAAUGAUCAGCUUUCUGAGAUAGAAGAAUUUUUUUACAUUAACCUUACUUCAGUAGAAAUUAGGGGAUUACAAAAGUUUGAUGUUAAUUGGAGCCCACGCCUGAAUCUAGAUUUCAGUGUUGCAGUGAUUACAAUAUUGGAUAAUGAUGACCUGGCAGGAAUGGAUAUUUCCUUCACCGAGACAACUGUGGCUGUAGCAGUUGACACAACUCUCAUUCCUGUAGAAACUGAAUCCACCACAUACCUCAGCACGAGCAAGACGACUACUAUUCUGCAGCCAACCAACGUGGUUGCCAUUGUUACUGAGGCAACUGGUGUAUCUGCCAUCCCUGAGAAACUUGUCACCCUUCAUGGCACACCUGCUGUGUCUGAAAAGCCUGAUGUGGCCACUGUAACUGCCAAUGUUUCCAUUCAUGGAACAUUCAGCCUUGGGCCAUCCAUUGUUUAUGUUGAAGAGGAGAUGAAGAAUGGCACAUUCAACACUGCAGAAGUUCUUAUCCGAAGAACUGGUGGGUUUACUGGCAAUGUCAGCAUAACAGUUAAAACUUUCGGUGAAAGAUGUGCUCAGAUGGAACCAAAUGCAUUGCCCUUUCGUGGUAUCUAUGGGAUUUCCAACCUAACAUGGGCAGUUGAAGAAGAAGACUUUGAAGAACAAACUCUUACCCUUAUAUUCCUAGAUGGAGAAAGAGAACGUAAAGUAUCAGUUCAAAUUUUGGAUGAUGAUGAGCCUGAGGGGCAGGAAUUCUUCUACGUGUUUCUCACAAACCCUCAAGGGGGAGCACAGAUUGUGGAGGGGAAGGAUGAUACUGGAUUUGCAGCUUUUGCCAUGGUUAUUAUUACAGGGAGUGACCUUCACAAUGGCAUCAUAGGAUUCAGUGAGGAGUCCCAGAGUGGACUAGAACUCAGGGAAGGAGCUGAUAUGAGAAGAUUGCACCUUAUUGUCACAAGACAGCCAAACAGGGCCUUUGAAGAUGUCAAGGUCUUUUGGCGAGUCACACUUAACAAAACAGUCGUCGUGCUCCAGAAGGAUGGGGUAAACCUGAUGGAGGAACUUCAGUCUGUGUCAGGGACCACAACCUGUACAAUGGGUCAAACAAAAUGCUUUAUCAGCAUUGAACUCAAACCAGAAAAGAUACCACAGGUUGAAGUGUAUUUUUUUGUGGAACUAUAUGAAGCUACUGCUGGAGCAGCAAUAAACAACAGUGCCAGAUUCGCACAGAUUAAAAUCUUAGAAAGUGAUGAAUCUCAAAGCCUUGUGUAUUUUUCUGUGGGUUCUCGGCUGGCAGUGGCUCACAAAAAGGCCACUUUAAUCAGUCUGCAGGUGGCCAGAGAUUCUGGGACAGGACUAAUGAUGUCUGUUAACUUUAGUACCCAGGAGUUGAGGAGUGCUGAAACAAUUGGUCGUACCAUCAUAUCUCCAGCUAUUUCUGGAAAGGAUUUUGUGAUAACUGAAGGCACAUUGGUCUUUGAACCUGGCCAGAGAAGCACUGUAUUGGAUGUCAUCCUAACGCCAGAGACAGGAUCUUUAAAUUCAUUUCCUAAACGCUUCCAGAUUGUCCUUUUUGACCCAAAAGGUGGUGCCAGAAUUGAUAAAGUGUAUGGGACUGCCAACAUCACUCUUGUCUCAGAUGCAGAUUCGCAGGCCAUUUGGGGGCUUGCAGAUCAGCUACAUCAGCCUGUGAAUGAUGAUAUUCUCAACAGAGUGCUCCAUACCAUCAGCAUGAAAGUGGCCACAGAAAACACAGAUGAACAACUCAGUGCCAUGAUGCAUUUAAUAGAAAAGAUAACUACUGAAGGAAAAAUUCAAGCUUUCAGUGUUGCCAGCCGAACUCUUUUCUAUGAGAUUCUUUGUUCUCUUAUUAACCCAAAGCGCAAGGACACUAGGGGAUUCAGUCACUUUGCUGAAGUGACUGAGAAUUUUGCCUUUUCUCUGCUGACUAAUGUUACUUGCGGCUCUCCUGGUGAAAAAAGCAAAACCAUCCUUGAUAGUUGCCCAUAUUUGUCAAUAUUGGCUCUUCACUGGUAUCCUCAGCAAAUCAAUGGACACAAGUUUGAAGGAAAGGAAGGAGAUUACAUUCAAAUUCCAGAGAAGCUACUGGAUGUCCAGGAUGCAGAAAUAAUGGCUGGGAAAAGUACAUGUAAAUUAGUCCAGUUUACAGAGUAUAGCAGCCAACAGUGGUUUAUAAGUGGAAACAAUCUUCCUACCCUAAAAAAUAAGGUAUUAUCUUUGAGUGUGAAAGGUCAGAGUUCACAACUCCUGACUAAUGACAAUGAGGUUCUCUACAGGAUUUAUGCUGCUGAGCCUAGAAUUAUUCCUCAGACAUCUCUGUGUCUCCUUUGGAAUCAGGCUGCUGCAAGCUGGUUGUCUGACAGUCAGUUUUGCAAAGUGGUUGAGGAAACUGCAGACUAUGUGGAAUGUGCCUGUUCACACAUGUCUGUGUAUGCUGUCUAUGCUCAGACUGACAACUUGUCUUCAUACAAUGAAGCCUUCUUCACUUCUGGAUUUAUAUGUAUCUCAGAAUCUUGCUCUGUCGCCCAGGCUGGAUUGCAGUGGUGUGAUCUUGGCUCACUGCAACCUCCACCUCCAGGAUUCAAGUGAUUCUCCUGCCUCAGCCUCCCGGGUAGCUGGGACUACAGGUCUUUGCUUGGCUGUUCUUUCCCAUAUCUUCUGUGCCAGGUACUCCAUGUUUGCAGCUAAACUUCUGACUCACAUGAUGGCAGCCAGCUUAGGUACACAGAUUCUGUUUCUGGCGUCUGCAUACGCAAGUCCCCAACUGGCUGAGGAGAGCUGUUCAGCUAUGGCUGCUGUCACACAUUACCUAUAUCUUUGCCAGUUUAGCUGGAUGCUCAUUCAGUCUGUGAAUUUCUGGUACGUGCUGGUGAUGAAUGAUGAGCACACAGAGAGGCGAUAUCUGCUGUUUUUCCUUCUGAGUUGGGGACUACCAGCUUUUGUGGUGAUUCUCCUCAUAGUUAUUUUGAAAGGAAUCUAUCAUCAGAGCAUGUCACAGAUCUAUGGACUCAUUCAUGGUGACCUGUGUUUUAUUCCAAACGUCUAUGCUGCUUUGUUCACUGCAGCUCUUGUUCCUUUGAUGUGCCUCGUGGUGGUGUUCGUGGUGUUCAUCCAUGCCUACCAGGUGAAGCCACAGUGGAAAGCAUAUGAUGAUAUCUUCAGAGGAAGGACAAAUGCUGCAGAAAUUCCACUGAUUUUAUAUCUCUUUGCUCUGAUUUCCGUGACAUGGCUUUGGGGAGGACUACACAUGGCCUACAGACACUUCUGGAUGUUGGUUCUCUUUGUCAUUUUCAACAGUCUGCAGGGACUUUAUGUUUUCGUGGUUUAUUUCAUUUUACACAACCAAAUGUGUUGCCCUAUGAAGGCCAGUUACACUGUGGAAAUGAAUGGGCAUCCUGGACCCAGCACAGCCUUUUUCACGCCCGGGAGUGGAAUGCCUCCUGCUGGAGGGGAAAUCAGCAAGUCCACCCAGAAUCUCAUCAGUGCUAUGGAGGAGGUGCCACCUGACUGGGAGAGAGCAUCCUUCCAACAGGGCAGUCAGGCCAGCCCUGAUUUAAAGCCAAGUCCACAAAAUGGAGCCACGUUCCCGUCCUCUGGAGGAUAUGGCCAGGGGUCACUGAUAGCCGAUGAGGAGUCCCAGGAGUUUGAUGAUUUAAUAUUUGCAUUAAAAACUGGUGCUGGUCUCAGUGUCAGUGAUAAUGAAUCUGGUCAAGGCAGCCAGGAGGGGGGCACCUUGACUGACUCCCAGAUCGUGGAGCUCAGGAGGAUACCCAUCGCCGACACUCACCUGUAGCACCUCACUAACCAUUCGACUGAGCACACUUUCAUAUUUGUAUCAGCUUUUGUGCUAAAACUCUCUAAGUACAUCCACCUGUGUAAUAGGAACCUGUGAACUGUACUGGAUGAUUAACACAAACGUGAUUGUUGUAUUUGGAGUAUAAAUUACUGAUUGUAUGUGACCUGAAAAUUCACUGCUAUAAGAAAGGUGGAGUCAGUUUGUAUCAGUUAAUAGGAUGUUCAUAUUCCAAGGAUAUUAGUUGUUUUUUUUAAUCAUCCUAUAUGGCUAACAUUGUUUAAUGAAAGUAAUAAUCAAUAAAGCAAUAGAAUCUA